rnacentral:rRNA from 1 species
CCCUUAGAUGUUCUGGGCUGCACGCGCGCUACACUGAAGCGUUCAACGAGUAUUUCACCUUGCCCGGGAGGGUUGGGUAAUCUUUUUAAAACGCUUCGUGAUGGGGAUAGAUUAUUGCAAUUAUUAAUCUUCAACGAGGAAUUCCUAGUAAGCGCGAGUCAUCAGCUCGUGCUGAUUACGUCCCUGCCCUUUGUACACACCGCCCGUCGCUCCUACCGAUUGAGUGGUCCGGUGAAUAAUUCGGACUGCAGCAGUGCUUGGUCCUCCGGGCUUUGCAGUGGAAAGUUUAGUGAACCUUAUCACUUAGAGGAAGGAGAAGUCGUAACA